UCCCCCUCCCACCAUCGAUUAAAAAAAAGAAGAAAAAAAACCCCUCUUUCACCCUUAUGCCGUAGAACUGCAACCACCAGAAAUCCAAACGGGCACAAAAAUUCGUAUUGCUUGAAGAUGGACAUCGGGCGGUGGCUUCUCGUCGCCUUUGCGCUCUCUUCGGCCCUUUGUGAUGCCCGCUAAAGCAAGAAUUCGUCGUGAUUUUUCAGAAAGCAAGAAACGAGAGAUGAGACAAGUGUGAAGAGUUGCGGAAAGAAACUAUUAUGAUCCUUUUUGUUACUGAAAGAAGCUAUGAUGUACUUUGAUUGCACAUUUGGUGCUUAGGGAUACAAAAGAGCAAAUGAAGCAGGGCUAAUCGUCCAGCUAUUCCAGGACAGGUAUGCGCAAAUUUUGUAUUUAGUUUUUUAUGAAAUAUCUUGCUUCUUUAAUAGGAGGAAAUAUUAUCUGCUAUGAUGUGCAGGAAUUAGUUAUAACAUCAUAUUAGGCAUUGAGCUUGGAAGAGUUAUCCGACGGUAUUUUUUAGCUUCCUCGAUUAGUAUGUUGUGAAGCAGAACAAAUGAAUUUACAGUGCAUCACAUUAAACACAAGGAACGAAUGAGCAAAAGGCAAAAUCCCUCGCCCCAUGGCCCGCAUCCUCUGGUCCGACAAAUAUUUGAUGGAGAAACGUAAAUUACAGUGACUCAACGCCCUAUUACCAUAUCAGAUCGGAUCUGAACCUGGUGCCCAAAAAAAAUCGUGUACCCACAAAAAAUAAUGAUGACAUGGUAUACGUAACCAAUAAUUUAUUUGUCUAGUACUUGAAAAACUUUAGCUACCUUUUCCAGUUUGUCUUUCAACUGCUACUGCAGUUUAAGAAUAAAAUGCUGGUAAUCACUUAUUUGGUAAUGGAAUUUUAUUUGUUCAUAAAUAUUUAAACAUAAUGUUGCUUAUCAAGUAAGUUUCCUUGGGAAAAAAGAUGAGCAUCAAGAGUUCUUAUCUUUUGCUGACAUCAUUUAUUCUUUUAUUUUAACUACAUGGGCUAUUUUCUG